GGCUAACUCCGGAGUGCGGGCUUGUGGGGAGCGACCCACACAAGCAUGUGCGAAUGAGCACAAAUGGCAAACAAGCAAGGUCACUGUCUCAAAUACUCUAUCCACAUGUCUCUAACAUGGCAAGGUCACUAGCAUCCCACGGAUCUAGCCCAAUGUCUCUAAGUGAUGUCCCAACACUCACUUGCUUAGUGUCUCUUUAU
rnacentral:lncRNA from 1 species